AGCGAACGUUUGCGGCGGGCUUAACACAUGCAAGUCGCACGAGAACUCUCCCUUCGGGGAGGGGGAAAGUGGCGCACGGGUGCGUAACACGUGGGUAACCAACCCUCUAGAUUGGGACAACCCGGGGAAACUCGGGCUAAUACUGGAUGUGGCGGCAGAGACUUCGGUCUUUGUCGUGAAAGGAGCAAUCCGCUAGAGGACGGGCCCGCGGCCCAUCAGCUUGUUGGCGAGGUAAUGGCUCACCAAGGCUAAGACGGGUAGCUGGUCUGAGAGGAUGAUCAGCCACACUGGAACUGAGACACGGUCCAGACUCCUACGGGAGGCAGCAGUGGGGAAUAUUGCGCAAUGGGCGAAAGCCUGACGCAGCCACGCCGCGUGAGCGAUGAAGGUCUUCGGAUCGUAAAGCUCUGUGGGGGGAGAAGAAACCUGACGGUAUCCCCUUAGCAAGCACCGGCUAACUCCGUGCCAGCAGCCGCGGUAAUACGGAGGGUGCAAACGUUGCUCGGU
rnacentral:rRNA from 1 species